GACGAACGCUGGCGGCGUGCUUAACACAUGCAAGUCGAACGGAAAGGCCCUGCUUUUGUGGUGUGCCCGAGUGGCGAACGGGUGAGUAACACGUGAGUAACCUGCCCUUGACUUUGGGAUAACUUCAGGAAACUGGGGCUAAUACCGGAUAGGAGCUCCUGCUGCAUGGUGGGGGUUGGAAAGUUUCGGCGGUUGGGGAUGGACUCGCGGCUUAUCAGCUUGUUGGUGGGGUAGUGGCUUACCAAGGCUUUGACGGGUAGCCGGCCUGAGAGGGGGACCGGCCACAUUGGGACUGAGAGACGGCCCAGACUCCUACGGGAGGCAGCAGUGGGGAAUAUGGCACAAUGGGCGGAAGCCUGAUGCAGCAACGCCGCGUGCGGGAUGACGGCCUUCGGGUUGUAAACCGCUUUCGCCUGUGACGAAGCGUGAGUGACGGUAAUGGGUAAAGAAGCACCGGCUAACUACGUA
rnacentral:rRNA from 1 species